rnacentral:rRNA from 1 species
AACUCUGGUAUUGAUUGGUGCUUGCAUCAUGAUUUACAUUUGACUGUGUGGCGAACUGGUGAGUAACACGUGGGUAACCUGCCCAGAAGCGGGGGAUAACACCUGGAAACAGAUGCUAAUACCGCAUAACAACUUGGACCGCAUGGUCCGAGUUUGAAAGAUGGCUUCGGCUAUCACUUUUGGAUGGUCCCGCGGCGUAUUAGCUAGAUGGUGGGGUAACGGCUCACCAUGGCAAUGAUACGUAGCCGACCUGAGAGGGUAAUCGGCCACAUUGGGACUGAGACACGGCCCAAACUCCUACGGGAGGCAGCAGUAGGGAAUCUUCCACAAUGGACGAAAGUCUGAUGGAGCAACGCCGCGUGAGUGAAGAAGGGUUUCGGCUCGUAAAACUCUGUUGUUAAAGAAGAACAUAUCUGAGAGUAACUGUUCAGGUAUUGACGGUAUUUAACCAGAAAGCCACGGCUAACUACGUGCCAGCAGCCGCGGUAAUACGUAGGUGGCAAGCGUUGUCCGGAUUUAUUGGGCGUAAAGCGAGCGCAGGCGGUUUUUUAAGUCUGAUGUGAAAGCCUUCGGCUCAACCGAAGAAGUGCAUCGGAAACUGGGAAACUUGAGUGCAGAAGAGGACAGUGGAACUCCAUGUGUAGCGGUGAAAUGCGUAGAUAUAUGGAAGAACACCAGUGGCGAAGGCGGCUGUCUGGUCUGUAACUGACGCUGAGGCUCGAAAGUAUGGGUAGCAAACAGGAUUAGAUACCCUGGUAGUCCAUACCGUAAACGAUGAAUGCUAAGUGUUGGAGGGUUUCCGCCCUUCAGUGCUGCAGCUAACGCAUUAAGCAUUCCGCCUGGGGAGUACGGCCGCAAGGCUGAAACU